GCCAGCGGCGAUAGCACGUUAAAUGCACCAGUUUCCCAUGGAUCAACGAAGUUAAGCAACAUUGUGCGUGGUUAGUAUCCGGAUGGGUGGCCAUCUGGGCAAUCGCGUGUUGCUUUUC
rfam:Asian citrus Psyllid, Diaphorina citri - Florida Strain, whole genome shotgun sequence.